rnacentral:rRNA from 1 species
UACGUAGGGGGCUAGCGUUGUCCGGAAUCAUUGGGCGUAAAGCGCGCGUAGGCGGCCCGGUAAGUCCGUUGUGAAAGUCAAAGGCUCAACCUUUGAAAGCCGAUGGAUACUGCCGGGCUGGAGUCCGGAAGAGGCGAGUGGAAUUCCCGGUGUAGUGGUGAAAUGCGCAGAUAUCGGGAGGAACACCAAUGGCGAAGGCAGCUCGCUGGGACGUGACUGACGCUGAGACGCGAAAGCGUGGGGAGCAAACAGG